GACGAACGCUGGCGGCAUGCCUAAUACAUGCAAGUCGAGCGAAUGAUGAAGAAGCUUGCUUCUUCUGAUUUAGCGGCGGACGGGUGAGUAACACGUGGGCAACCUGCCCUGUAGAUUGGGAUAACUCCGGGAAACCGGGGCUAAUACCGAAUAAUCCAUUUCCUCACAUGUGGAAAUGUUAAAAGACGGUUUCGGCUGUCACUACAGGAUGGGCCCGCGGCGCAUAGCUAGUUGGUAGGGUAACGGCCUACCAAGGCGACGAUGCGUAGCCGACCUGAGAGGGUGAUCGGCCACACUGGGACUGAGACACGGCCCAGACUCCUACGGGAGGCAGCAGUAGGGAAUCUUCCACAAUGGACGAAAGUCUGAUGGAGCAAUGCCGCGUGAGUGAAGAAGGUUUUCGGAUCGUAAAACUCUGUUGUGAGGGAAGAAUAAGUACGAGAGUAACUGCUCGUACCUUGACGG
rnacentral:rRNA from 1 species